CAAUGAAGGAAACAUGGUAAUGUGCACAUAAAUUGAAUUGAGUCUCUAAGUCUGCCCUCUUUUAUGCCAUUUGGCUUUGAUUUAGAGGUAUGGUUCUGCAGCAAAAUA